GUGCGUGCAGUAAAACCUAGCCGCCCCUCAUCCCCAUUCUCCCCCUCUCGCGCCGCUCAUCCCCACCUCCCACGCGCCUUCUCGCUCGCCGCCGCCGCCGCCAUGGCCUCUUCCUGCUCUGUCCUCAUCCCUGGCGUGUCCCGUGCGUGAGAGGCCGCCACCUCUCCUCACCUUCUCCUCGCUUCCCGGUCUGAAGCGAAGGGAUUGACGCGGCCGCCGGGGAUGACUCCAGUUCAUCGUCGAUGGGAGCAGGGGAGCAGCAGCCGCCUCCCUCUCGGCCUCCCCGUCUCGUCGGAGCCGCCGCUCUCGGGGUCCUUCCCAGCCAUCCGAGGAUCUCCCAUCCCAUCCCGAGCCGGAUUUCAGUGAUAGGGGAGGAGAGAAUCGACGAUGCAUCAAGGCGCCCGCCACCUCUUUUGCAGCACAGCACAACGGCCUCUGCAGAAGCUAAGCGGCAGUUGCCUCGUCUCCUUUUCAAUCGCAACCCCUGCGACCUUUAAUCUCAAUAGCAGAGCCCUCAGUUGUUAGGGAAGGUGUGCUCUUGCUUGUGAUGGUUGGCCACAUCCCAGCAGUGUGUGGGAGCCGCUGUUUUCAGCCAGAGUUGGGUCUCCUUGCCAUUCAUCACCAGCCUGUCUGCAGAAAGACGAAGGCGAUGAAGAGGAUACAUGAGCGGUCAAGUCAGCGUGAGGUGGAGAAGAUGUGGCGUUUCUGUUGGCGGCGCUGGGCCAGCAACAUCAGGCAGUGGACUACGGGGAGCUGCCGUGGGUGGUGGCUACAGUUUCCACGAGAGUGGGGUGGGGGUGGCACACGUGGGGGCGACGGCAGCAAGUGGAUCCGCACCGCUGAGGUGCACAACCACUCUGAGAAGACCACAACAGCAGAGGAGUGGGAUCGGCGAGAAGAUUGAAGGUGUUGCGGACCCUGAUACUCAAUUCCAACAAGAUUAACAAGGCAUCUAUGCUUGACGAGGCCAUUGAGUAUGAGAAGCAGCUGUAUCUGGAAGUACAAGUUAGUAAGCAUGCCUGGAUGCAUGGUUGGAUGAUGAACUUAGAUUGAGGGAGAUGGUGGUCUCAUCGAGGACGUAUGCAUGUAAGAUCUCUAUGAUUAGGGCCCAAUGCUCAGUUAAUUUCUGAGUGAUGGAGUUCGUCGAAUAAAUGUGAACCACAUCAUCGGAAGGGGUGUUAUUCUAGCUUUAGUCGAUGCACAUUGUUCAGUUCAUAUAUGAUUCCAACGGCUUUACUUCCAUAUCACAGGUUUUCCCAAACCAAAUAUUAGUAAUGCCACAUGUAUACGAUUAGUGUCUAUUCAUUUGUUGUUUCCACUUCCAUUUUAUUGCCAGCAAGCAACAUUGACCUCAGACAUCUACUACUCAUUGCCUUUGCUAUACGGAUUUAUAUAAAAAACGAAAUUUAGCCUGCCAUGUAUGUGAACAUUUCUUCUGUUACAACUUACAAGGGCUCUCCAGGCUUAUGAUCUUUCUAGGAUAAUUGAUUGUUGAAUCUGAAGGCAGGGUAAAACUUGAGUCGCCUACAAAUGAUUUUGCCCGUUUGUUGAAGGUUUUUCUGGGCUUGUGCAUGGCGAGCCCGCUGGGCUGCUUAUGAGCAGUUUGCACUGUAGGUUGUCAAAUCCUUGCAAGAUAGAAUAUGUUUUUUGCAUUCUGGGCUUACAAUGGAGUAAUCAACAGCUACGACCAUGCAGGUAUGAACUUUGUAUGAGAGGCUAAGAUAGGCAUGGCGACAUGGAUCAUGGUAGUUGGUUUUGCUAGAUUUCAUGUGUCUAUCCAUCCGUGCUAUCUCCAGCAAUGCGUAUUUUUUCCAUGUAUCUCUCAUUCUUCCAUGUAGCUAGAGACUUAGAAUAACCAACGGAACAUUCUCAGUUUUGUGUUUUCGCUCUUCUCAGAUUUUACGCUGGGUGUAUAGAGAUGUGCGGCACACACGGAAUUCAGAUUUCAGUGGGAAUAUAUCAUUGUGCCAUGUUCAAAAUUAUAACUACAGAGAAGAAUGAAAUUUUGUGAUUAGGCUGCUGUGGUGUUUCUUUUUAAAUAAAUGGCAUGCUAACUUGCUGGUUUAAUUUAGGUGUGUAGGAUAGUGUCUCCUCUCCGUUGCAACAAACAACUUUCUCAGGUUUGUCCAGUGGUUUGAUGCAGCUGAACCAUAGAAGCAACCAAUAGCUAUUCUGAAUAACUAUGACUGUUCUCAGCUGAACCACACCUGUACUAGCUGAACCAAGGAAGCAACUUAUGAUCAAACCUGACAAUGGUUAGCAUGAUCAGGUUGGAGGCGUUAUUUCUCGUGAGGAGGUCUUUUUGCUCAGUCUUGGUUUACUAGCUUCAUCCGGUUUUGAAGUGUCGGCAUGGUGUAGAAGCCCGGUCAGUUUUCUUGGUCUAUGAAUUUAAGAAUUAGAAGCAGCAGGCGGCAGCUCAGUUGACGGGAUAUCUCAUAACUGAAACCAAGAACAACAAGUGCUUCGGUUCUGGUGUUGGCGACCCAUUGCUUGAGGCGACAUCGUGUGCAAGAUUAUUCUUGUGGAGGCCACUGGCACGGUGGCACCCUCCUCGGCCUGCUGAUCCCAUUACCCGGGUUGCGUGUUGCGCCUAAAGGUUGGAUAUAUGGUGAUAUGGUAAUGCCGAUUUGGGAAAGCAGGUUUACAGUGUGUAUAAAUUAAGAAAACAAUUUAUAUUCUGUGAUGUGAUCACUGCAUUUUAAUUUAGUAUAUGCGAUCCCCUCAAGUAGGGAAGUAUCGAAUGCACCUCUCUGGCAAGUGCACGCAUAA